CCCUUAGAUGUUCUGGGCCGCACGCGCGCUACACUGAUGCAUUCAACGAGUCUAAAACCUGCUCUGAUAGGGGUGGGUAAUCUUUUGAAUGUGCAUCGUGAUUGGGAUAGAUGAUUGAAAUUUUUCAUCUUCAACGAGGAAUGCCUAGUAAACGCAAGUCAUCAGCUUGCAUUGAUUACGUCCCUGCCCUUUGUACACACCGCCCGUCGCUCCUACCGAUUGAAUGAUCCGAUGAAUAUCAUGGAUUGAGAAUGCAAGUAGGUUCACCUAUCUUCAUCUUCGAGAAGUGAAGUAAAUCUUAUCAUUUAGAGGAAGGAGAAGUCGUAACA
rnacentral:rRNA from 1 species